AACCGAUGCUGAUGACUGUGAUACCAACGCCGACUGCACAAACACUGAAGGGUCCUUCACCUGUACAUGCAAGCAUGGCUACGCUGGAGAUGGAAAAACUUGCAUAGCGGGUGUGUGUUCUGCGGACGGGGAUGAAUGCCUCAAUGGAGGAACAUGUGACACAAGCAGCACUCCCACCAAGUGUUCCUGUGCGGAUGGUUACACGGGGGACACCUGUCAGAAUGGUGGAGGUACG